UACGUAGGGUGCGAGCGUUAAUCGGAAUUACUGGGCGUAAAGCGUGCGCAGGCGGUUCGUCGUGUCCGAUGUGAAAGCCCCCCGGCUCAACUGGGGAGGGUCACGCGAUACUGAUCGACUCGAAGGCAGGAGAGGGUAGUGGAAUUCCCGGUGUAGUGGUGAAAAUGCGUAGAUAUCGGGAGGAACACCAGUGGCGAAGGCGACUACCUGGCCUGUUUCUUGACGCUGAGGCG
rnacentral:rRNA from 1 species